CUCAACCGAGGAAUUGCUUGGUAAACUGCUUGUCUUGAGCCCGGUAGAGGCCAUCGGAACUCUAGGUGGAGCGGUGAAAUGCGUAGAUAUCUAGAGGAACGCCAAAGGCGAAAGCAGAUGGCUGGGCCGGCGCUGACGCUGAGGCACGAAAGCAUGGGUAGCGAACCGGAUUAGAUACCCGGGUAGUCCAUGCCGUAAACGUUGUGCACUAGAUCGAGGGGGUUUGACGCUCUCUCGGUCGAAGCGAAAGCGAUAAGUGCACCGCCUGGGGACUACGGUCGCAAGGCUAAAACUCAAAGGAAUUGACGGGGGCUCACACAAGCGGUGGAGCACGUGGCUUAAUUCGAAGCAACGCGAAGAACCUUAUCCAGGGCUUGACAUGCAUGGAUUAGAUGCCUGGAAACAGGAUCGACGCCUUUUAGGUGGAACA
rnacentral:rRNA from 1 species